GGGUUCCCUGCGCUUCGGUGCGGCCAACCGCUGUGGAGCUGCCUUUUCACUGUUCCUCCCGAUGUGAUUUUUUUGCAGGGGAUGGAUCGCUUGCUAUCGGUCGUCUGUGUGGUUCUACCCUUGUGCGGAACAAAAGUGGGUUUCAAGACGGACUUCUGCUUGCGUCGUUGACACUUGUUGUCGUCGGCGCGGCUGAUAUGUUGGCAUGAUGCUUGUGCGGCUGCGUGCGAAUUAGCUCCAGUACUGCAUACGCAUUUUGUCGGCUCUCAUGGAUGCGGUGCGCAUUGAGGAAUCCACGCGUCUUCGGUCGCUGGAUUACUUCGGGAUAUGUCCCUUGCAUGGAUCGUUCCCCCGUUGCUUUGCUUCGGGGUGCGAGCCUGUGCCUGCGAGAUGCUUUGCCCGAUUGGAAGAGCGAUUGCCGGAUCUCGUCGCGCGAAGGUGCUCUCUCGACUCGUUGAGGGUGUGCUGGAAGCGGCGUGUCGGCUCUCGUUGAAGACGUGCUACCUGGUUGAUCCUGCCAGUAGUCAUAUGCUUGUCU
rnacentral:misc_RNA from 1 species